rnacentral:rRNA from 1 species
AUUGAACGCUGGCGGCAUGCCUUACACAUGCAAGUCGAACGGUAACGGGCCUUCUGGUGCCGACGCGUGGCGAACGGGUGAGUACUACAUCGGAACGUGCCCGAUCGUGGGGGAUAACGAGGCGAAAGCUUUGCUAAUACCGCAUACGAUCUACGGAUGACAGCAGGGGACCGCAAUGCCUUGCGCGGACGUAGCCGCCGAUGGCAGAUUUGGUAGUUGGUGGGUUAAAAGCUUACCAAGCCGACGAUCUGUAGCUGACCUGAGAGGAUGAUUAGCCACACUGGGACUGAGACACGGACCAGACUCCUACGGGAGGCAGCAGUGGGGAAUUUUGGACAAUGGGCGCAAGCCUGAUACAGACAUGCCGCGUGCAGGAUGAAGGCCUUCGGGUUGUAAACUGCUUUUGUACGGAACGAAAAGCCUUCUUUUAAUACAGGAGGGUCAUGACGGUACCGAAAGAAUAAGCACCGGCUAACUACGUG